AGACUGUUGUGUGUAAUAUUUUUCUCUCUUAAGAAAAGUAAGAUUUUUGGAGGGGCGGCCGGGUUGGGUGGUGGGGUGAGACAGGAAAGAUGAAUCGAGCGCAUGUAUUUCUGUCAGCACAAAGCCUUCGAAUGGCUUUCACGCUGGGUCGCUAAUAUUUGAAGGCACAUUUUCUGACCUGCCUAUCGAACUAACUGACGUUUACUUUAAGAUUCUGAUUUAAUCCAGUCGGCACUCACCCAACCCCCAACCCAGUCCGUGACCUGGCAGAAUGUGUGUGUCCCGCUGCUGUGGUCCGGCCGCCGCUUUCAAUUGUUAAAGCCUCACCCCUUUUUUUUUGAUCUGAAACUCUGCCCAAGACGGAGUCACUCCUGAUUUCUUCCAAAUGGAUCUGGCUUGCCCUGCUCCUUAAGAAACCCACUGCUUACAAAACGUGGGCACGAAUUCGCGACACCCCCUCCUCCCCACUCCCACUCAAAAAUACUUUCUACAAGUAAAAAUGCAAAUUGCUUCCAGCUUCUUUGUCUGUUGAGCUGAAACGAUGGAAGCCGGCUCUUUGAAAGAGAAAAAAAAUGGCGAGUCUCAUUGUCUCUGGGCUAUUUUCUUUCGGUACAACUACUUAAGUGAAAUUCUAUAGAAGCGGGUCCCUUUUACAUAUCCUUUUUGCUCACUUAACUUUGUUAUAUGGAGAAAGCUGCGUUACAAUCCCUUACUGAUCAAGCCAAAUUAGGAUUUUUCGCACCUUUUUAUUUGUCUCCCAUGUCCGGCUUUGAUGGAAUUUCAAUCGUAUUUGGUGUUCCGUUUCCUUGCCGACUUGUUUCUGCUUAUUGUGCCUAAAUUGUCUUGGGCCGAGGGGACCAUGUCUGCUUCCCGAACAGUUCCGAAUCUUUCACGGAUGGUUCCCGUUCCGCCGUGAGCUCUGCCCGAGUUCCCUGUGCGAAAGGCCAGGCUGCUGUGAUUGUGGAGGCGGCCGUUUUGCCUGACGCCCUGCUCGGCCCCGCAGCUUGGAUCGCGCCGUCAAUGGAAAGCUCCCUCUCAGCAGCUUGUAGCCCCCAGUGAUUGUGAAAGGAGGAAGAGAAAGAAAAAGACGCCAGAAUGAUUCUCAAAGGCUUUUCUUCAGCGGGGACUGACAGUGCAGCUCUGUGACGCCAAAAGGCUUACUGCCCAGAUCACUCUCCACUACUGCCAUUGAGUAAACCUUCCAACACAACUGUCCUGCACACUGCAGACCCUGCGAUAGCGGUCAGAUCACCUGAAAUACUGAGUCUCAUCGACACUUGCUUUUACUUUUUAACCUGCUCCUGCAUGGCCCAAGACGUUUUAAUUUUGUCCAAGGACAGCGACAGAUGAAGAUUGAAAUGUAAAGUCGCCACUUCGCUGCCGAUUUGGAAACACACGAUGCAAUAGGGAACGGAAGUGCCCGGGACGGUUUCCAGCAUCCGCGGUUCGUGCUUUGUUUUGGCACAUCCUGAAGGCGCUACUGAAGUGCAACUCUCCAAAGUAGGUGGAAAGGCAGAUUUAACGCCACGGCGGAAGGUUUGUACCGUUGGCCCGGGGAAGUGAACUGGCGAAACCCAUGCUAGAGGGCACAGAAAUAAGACAAAAUAAAAAUCCAGCUUAACUCCCAGUCAGAUGCUGUCAGAUCUGCUGGGCUUCACUCGCAGUUUCAGUUUUUGUUUCAGAACUCUAGCAUCUGCAGUUCUUUGUUUUGUUUUAAGCUCAGCUGAACCAGACUACCAAGGACCAUAUCCUGCAGGCAGUAGAAUCAUAGAGUCACAGAGGUAUACAGCAUGGAAACAGACUCUUCGGUCCAACCCGUCCACUCCCUAUCAGAACCUUCUUGCUAAGUCCAUCUGUCGGGGAAACAUCUGUUUGGACAACUUCAGAAAUUCCUCACAGCUGCUGAAUUCUCACUUCAUAUUUUUAAUGCCUUCACCUCAGAAAAAAACAAGUAACAGUCCUACAACUAUAACCUGUGAAUUAAAUUUCAUCAUCAUAGCUGACACGCCAGUGCCAUUCUAAGGAAAAGCUGCAUUGCUGGAAGCAUCAUUUUUCAGACAAGACGUUAAGAAGUAAAGGCAUCAUAUUCCAUUCACAUGGAUAUGAGAGACACAAUUUGAAUCACAGCAGUGAAAACUAGGAAUACAAGAACAGAGGGAGGUCAUCUAGCCCUUUGAACCUGUUUGUCUGUUAUCAAUGUUAAAAUAUGAAUUAAAAUAUAACUAGAAACA